AAAGCAAAAUAAGGUAUUUGGGAUAAAUUGUCAAAAGGUCUGUCUGAUUGUUCUGUGUGGGAUGCUUUGGGGGAAAGCUUGAUGAAGAGACUUUAAGGAAAUCUCUGAAUACCAAGAGAGAUGCAACCGUGUGAAGAUCAGAGGAACAGAGGAACCAGCAGAGGGAAGAACUUGAGAAGCCUCAGAGAUGAGAUUUGGAUCAUCUUGUCUGUGGAUGUGACUAAGACUGGUAAAGAAGAGAAUCCCAUAGAAUUGCAGACAUUGGGAUUAGAGAUUCUGGAAGCUGUUUUUGAUGGUAAACCCAUCUCUAGUGAAACUCAAGGAACUCUGUUAAGGGAACCAAACUUGCCCCUUUGAAGAAUCCACCAGCUAACAGGAUCAUCGGCCUCUAAAAUGUGAACGAAUGAGACUUCAUAUCAUUCAAUGAGCUUCCAGAUCUUCCAAGAGUGCCCCAUACACUGCACAGCAGAGACAAGCUGUCUUUGCUGGGGUCUGUCUGAAAUCUUGCCCACAGAAUCCAUGGACAUAAUCAGUGAUUGUUUUAUGGUAGCACAUUUUGAGAUAAUUUAUAAUAUGGUCACAGUAAUUUAAACAGAAGGGUAAACUCUGGGCCAUCAAUCUAACUUAAAGAGCUUUGUCUUAGUUUCUUUCCUGUUGCUGUGAUAAAAUAUCCUAACCAAAGAAACUUAAGGGAGUAAGGGUUUAAUUGGCUCACAGUUUCAGUUUACAGCCCAGCAUUGUGGGAAAGUCGAGGCAGCUGGAACUUGAAGGUCACAUUGCACUCACAGUUGGGCUGAAAGCAACGAGUGAAUGAGUGCUUGUGAGCCAUGCUUAGCAUUCACUUUCCAUUUUAUACCCUUCAUUUCACUUAGUGUAGUUAAGGCAAUUUCUCACAGGCAUUUUUUAGAAGUUAACUUUAGCCCCCUAGACAACCCCUCACAAGUGUGUCUCAAGGCUUGCCAGUUGACAACACUAAACAUCAUAGGCCCUCUCCACUGUGACAACAGAAUACCUUUCUAUUCUCUAACUAUUCCCUGAGGACUCAUUAUUGAAGCUCUAGGUAUCCUCAAUUUUGGUGCCCUAAGAAAAACUAUGCUCUUAUGCCUGUAGUCUCCCCUCCCCCAGCCUGAAACCUGCUUGCUCAGGGGUGGAGCUUCCCGCUCAAUCUUUCUGCCGGGCCUACUGCUGGAAUCUGCCGCUUUGCUGUUCGAAGCCAUCACGUGAUCACCCUGCUACUGGACCCCAAGAUUAUUUGGCGGGAAUUGGGUCCCUCCCCCUUCCUUUAUAACUGAGUGCCGAAAUAGUAAAAACUGAACCUUGAGCAGAGAGCUUUGUCUUGGUUCCUUCCUUAUCUUGCGCAGCCCAGCC
rnacentral:lncRNA from 1 species